AAACUGUUCCAGGAAGCAGAUGGAGAGGGGAGAGUUUUCACCGUUAGCUUGUUCAAGCCCUCGUGGGCUUGAUUCCAGAGAACCAUUUGACCUUAACCUUGGUAAAAAAGCUUCCUUUUUUUCACAUCCGUCAGAUAAAGGUUGUUUUAAAUCUUAGCAUGUCUGGUUUCUUGUCAAACUCAUCAGGCGCUAGAAUGUUCUACAACACUCAAGAGAUGCUACUGAG
rnacentral:lncRNA from 1 species